rnacentral:lncRNA from 1 species
AUGGCUGCAACUUGGCUUUGUAACAUCGUAGUGAAGACCCCAAUCAACAAGGGUCAUCUUGAUCUCUGCAGCAUGAGUGUCCAGUGUAGUCCUGGUCCUGGAAGAGCUUCAGUAGAUACAGAGAAGAGCAAUAAAGAUGAUCAAAGCUCUGUGGGAUGGAAAAAGGGACAGAAUAUAUGGACAUACUACCAGAUUCUGCACCUGUAAAGAGGUAACCUUGGCUAUACAUACAGACUGGGAGAUGAGACACUGGAGAGAAACCCUGCUGAAAGGCACUUGAGGAUCUUGGUCAACAGCAAGUUGAACAUGAGUCAGCAGUGUGCCCAAGAAGCCAGGAAGGUCAACAGUAUCCUGAGGUGCAUCAAACACAGCAUUGCUUCCCUCAAGCUAGUUGAAGGAAGUGAUUGUUCUGCUCUACACUGCACUGGUGUGGCCUCACAUCGAGUACUGUGUACAGUUUUGGAUGCUAUAGUACAAAAAGGUCACAAAGAGUGUCCUAAGGAGGGCUAAAAAGAUGGGGAAAGGUCUAAAGGGGAAGAUGUAUGAGCAGGGGAAGAAGCCCUUUGGUUUGGUCAGCCCAGAGGUGACUUGAGGGGAGACCUCAUGGCAGCCAACAGCUUCCUCACAAGGGUAGCAGAGGGACAGGCACUAAUCUUUGCUAUCUGGUGACAGCGAUAGGACCUGAGGAAAUGGCAUGAAACUGCGACAGGGGAGGGUCAGGCUGGAUAUCAGGAAAAGGUUCUUUACCAGAGAGUGGUUGGGCACUGGAACAGGCUCCCCAGGGAAAUAGUCAUGGCACCAAGCUGCUGGCAUUGAAGAAGCAUCUGGACAAUGCUCUCAGUCAUAUUGUCUGAUUUUCAGGUGAUCCUGUGUGGAGCCAGGAGCCAGACUCAAUAAUCCUUAUGGGUCCCUUCCAACUCAGGAUGUUCU